GGCCGCGUGGCGUAAUGGAUAACGCGUCUUCCUACGGGGCAGAUUAUUGUAGGUUCGAGCCCUGGUGUGGUCG
rfam:Angiostrongylus cantonensis strain Taiwan genome assembly, scaffold: ACAC_contig0012690